CGGUAGAGAUUGGCACCGAUAAAGUCCAAUCAAUUUUAAGUUAAAAAGGAAGCAAGAUG
rnacentral:sRNA from 12 species